rnacentral:lncRNA from 1 species
GGGGCUGCAUUUUCCUACUCCAAGCUGCGGAGAAGGAUGCGCGACAGAUUAACCCCUCGGGAAGGAUGCACGACAGAUUAACCCCUCGGUGGCGACUCCUUUGUCUGGCCCGGCCACUGCUGAGACGACAGAGCGGCGCCCUCGGCCUGAGGACUGGGCACCAGUGCCCGAGGAGCGCGCCGGCCGUCCGAAGGCCCCUUCUCCAGCCCAGGUGUGCAGGCUGCGGGCGGGGCCUCGGCGGCAGGUUCGGCUGAGCCACGCGGUCUUCGGGGCCCACGAGCUGCGCCCCUGACGCCACCAGCCAUGGAGCGGGAGAGAACGUGAAGGAAGUCUUGGGCCGUUUAGAUUGUUUUAAAAACUCGAAUUAAUUGGGAAAAUAGUAACUGUGCUCCCCAACGCAAAGAAGAGGUUGAGAGGGGAAGUCUUUUUUUAAUUAUACCCCCUUGUUGUGGCGGUUGUUUCUGACCUUUUCCUACUAUUAAGAGAAAUGUUGCCACAUUUAAUUUUUGUUGCCAUGAGAUAUGCAGAGGGUAGCCCCACAUUUUGAAGUAAUUUGAUAAGCUUUCGAGUAGCAAAUCCGAAAGGGAGGCUGGCGGCCCAGGUAUAGUUUCUUUAUAACCUGAAUUUACAAUGAAAGCAUUCUCCUUUAUGGAUAUAAUAGAUUAGAUUUCACAACUUAAUUCACCGGAAUGGCUCCGUUUAAGGGAGCUCCGGCUGAUUUUAUUACGCCAAGCCAAAUUGGAUGUUUGUGGUCUUAACGAAAAGCGAUUGUGACAUAAAAUAUAUAAUUUUUAAAGUAAAGAAACCCAGCGGGUUCGACCCUGUCCCCUCCUCUCCACCCGCGGUCCUCCUCACCCCCGGUUCCCCAGUUUGGGGAAUGCAGAGAACUAUUUGUUUGUUGAUUUCCGCCAGAGACAGGAACUCACACCCGGGAGGGGCCGGGCGGGAAGCGCCGCUCGGGCGGGGGCUGGGCGCCGGGGGCAGCGGGCCUCGCCUCUCCCGCGGCCUCUCCCGCUGGGCCCCGCCGCUCGCCCUUCCCACGCCGCGCAGGCCUCGCCGGCGGCGCGCACGCGGUGCCGUUUCCCCCCGAAGGCGUGGGGCCCGCUUCUCGGGCUCCUUCGAAACGUCGAAACCCCCGGCACAGGCUCCGGAGUCUCGGGGCCCUCGGAACACCCAUGGGGGCCGAAGCGUCUGCUCGCCCCGCGGCGCAGGCAGGGCCUUGCGCAGGCCGAGCCGCGGGCCUCGGCGGGACACCAGGAAUGGAGCAGGCUCGUCUGCGCUACUCGCUGCGAAAUGA